UGAUCCGCAUAUACCCUUUUCAUGAUAUAUCUUCUCAUUCACUCUAUACAUGCAUAGGAUUCCCUCACCCGUCCAAUUUUUUUCAUCAUCCUUAUCCUUAAUUGGGUCUCACGCGUACAUGACCCGACCCAAAAACUUUUUCUUUGUAGCCAAGCACACAUAUUAUAUGGAGUGUAUAAAUAUAUCUUGGGGAUAUCUAAAAGUGAGGAGGAACCCUAGAGCCCUAAAGAAAGAAAAAGUUGUGCAGCAGCUGAUAAAAAAAUGCAGUAGCAAGAGCUAAAAAAAACCCAGCUUCAUCUCCCUCAAGAACACCUGCUAAUCACCAUUAAAGCAUUCUAAAAUCAGCACCUAAAACUCGACAAAAUACAUCCAUUUUUACCUCAAGUCCACCCCAAAAUACAAUAGAAAUCCAAGCCGAAAAGGAGCAGCAAAACCAGUUUUAAAACCUCCAAAAUCCAGCCAAGAACUCCAGCAAAGCUUCAGCUCGAAAUCGGGCUUCCGACGAAUGGUUCCGGUAAGUUUUGAGGUUCCGGUGCGGUCUUCGGGUGGCGGGUCUGUUUGUUUUUAGGUUGUCGGCAUGCCUUUCCUUGUAUGCUGACCAGAGGCUCUUGCAAAUACAGAAGCUAAUUAAAAAAAAGGUUUAUUUCCUUUAUUAUUUUCUGCAUUUUUAUUUUUUUAAAGUUGUUACUUUAUUCAGCCAUCAAAUAUGUGUGACCUUAAUUUGCCUGAUUGGCUUUCUUCCUAUUGCCUCUAUUUUGCCAUCUUUUAGUAUGUUUCAGCAUUGUUAAUAUUUAGUGUUGAUCUGAAGAUUAAUUAGUUUUGUUUUGAGUGAUGAAUUCGUUAGUGUAGAAUUAAAUUUAUUUGGGCUUGAUUAUUUUAUUGGUUGUAUUCAUGUGGGCCAUAUGGUAUGUCUUGACAUAAUGGGUUGUAUAGUCUAGCUAGAAGUAGACGUAGCUUUGAACAUGAGACAAAUUAAAUUUGAAAUAAAUCAAAGUACGCGUUUGCGCGACUUUGGCCAAACAAUCUUAAUAAUAAUAAAAUGUUAUUAAUUGUGUAUCGUUCGCGUGACACGAGUACGAUUUAAAAAUAAAUACUUGUAGAAAUGCUUUUAGGCGUGGUUUUUAAACUACUAUCGUGAUUGUGUACAUGUUCGCGUGUCGCGAUUUUGAUUUUUUCAAAUAAAUUGAAGGUAUGCGUUCGCGCGACUUUGACCAAACUUUUUCUUAAAUAAACUAAGUGUUAGGAAUUGUGUACACAUACGUGUGACAUGAUUCUUGAUGCACCAAAUUAGAUAAGUAUACCAACACGUAACUCGAUAAUUCUUUCAAGUACUUAAGAGUUGUAAAAGGCAAAAUACACAUAUGUUCUAAAAUAAGUAAUUAAAUAGUUAAUUAAGCCAGGUAAGAUUAAAAGUGAUCGUGCUAAAACCACAAAACUCGGGAGUGCCUAACACCUUCUCCCGGGUUAACAGAAUUCCUUACCUAGUUUUUUCUAGUUUUGCAGACUUUAAACGAAAUCAAAUUUUCCUCGAUUUGAGAUUUAAAAUAAACCGGUGACUUGGAACAUCAUAAAAUUAUUCCAAGUGGUGACUCUGAAUUUAUUAAAUAAUCUCAUUUCAAUUAAUAUCAUUUUAAUUGGAAAAACUCCAUAUCCCUUCAGGAAAAAGGAGGUGUGACAGAGAGUAUUAUAAGUGCAUGGCGAGACAACUUAGAGUGUCUCGCCUCAUGAUCGGUCACUGACAUCUGACCCUACUGGAGCUGCUCAAACUGAAACCGCAACUCUUCUCUCUGAGAGGGUGGAUUAUACAUAUCCAAGAAAAAAUGUGUAACUGAUCCCAAGUCAAUGGAGGAGAACUUGCUGGUNNNNNNNNNNNNNNNNNNNNNNNNNCUGCCAAGAAGAUAAGACUGCCACCAUCUACGGGCCCUGCCCUCCAGCUUGAAAGUAGUAAAAUCCACCUUGUGGGUCUCUAAUAUCCUUAUAUUGUGCACUAUGUCCCUACACCAAUCAAUAAAGUCCUGGGAUCCUCAUGUCGCUCACCUCCAAAGACAGGAGGGUGUAGCCUAGUCCAUCUGUCUAAUAGCUUCUACGGCUCGCCGGCCGCAGUUGGUCGGGGCUCAGGUACUGUAAUGACCCGGCCGGCCGUUUUGAAUAAUACAAUCUUGUUUCCCCUAUUUACUGCUAAAUUUAUGCUUUACAAUUGUUAUGUGACUUGUCAGGGUAAUUGGUUAGGGUCCGGUGAGAUUUUUGAAAUGAAUUGAGACACUUAGUCUCCAAGAAGAAAGCUUAAGUUGAAUAAUUUGACCGGAAGAUGAAAAUGUGUAAACGACCCCAAAAUGAAUUUUUGAUGAUUCCAAUAGCUCCGUAUGGUAAUUUCGGGAUUAGGAGUGUGUCCAGAUAUUUAUUUCGAGGUUCGUAACUAAAUUAUGCUUGAAAUGGAGAAAAUGAGAAAUUUAAGUUUGGAAGUUUGACUGGGGAGUUGACUUUUUGAUAUCUUUGGGUCGGAAUCCAGUCCUAAAAAUUUUUCUAGCUCCGUUUUGUCAUUUAUGACUUGUGUGCAAAAUUUGAUGUCAAUCGGACUUGAUUUGAUAGGUUUCGGCAUCGAAUAUAGAAGUUGGAAGUUCUUAGUUUCAUUAAGCUUGAAUUGGGGUGUGAUUCGUGGUUUUAGCGUUGUUUGAUAUGAUUUGAAGUUUCGACCAAGUCCGUAUCAUGUUUUAGGACUUGUUGGUAUAUUUGGUUGGGGUCUCGGUGGACUCGAGUAUGUUUCGAAUCAUUUUGGGCUACUUUGGGUGCUGAUUUUCUGAUAUCUGGUGUUGUUCUUCGCGUUCGCGAAGAAGAAUUUGGCCUCUGGAAGUUUGUUCUUCGCGUUCGCGAAGAAGGAAAUCUCGAUUGCAUAGGUCUGACUUCGGAGGCUCAUAUCUCACAAUCUAUAAGGAAUUUGGAGAUAAUCCAAACAUGAAAGUUAUAGAUCUUUGUGUUUAGUUUUCAGAAAUGUAAAUUAAUUGGCAUUUAGAUUUGUGUACAAAAAGUUAUGGUAGUUACACUACAGUCUGUCCGGGGAGAGUUUGAAAAUCUCUGCUGCACAGGGCUGACUUUGGAAGCUUAUAUCUCGCAAUAUAUAAUGAUGACUCAGGAAAUUAGCAACCUAUGAAAUUAUAGCCCUUGGUGUCUAGUAUUCAGAACAUCAAACCAUUUGUCAUUUGGAGUUGUGUAAAAAAAAUUAUGGCAAUUAUACUAAAAGCUGUCUGGAAUGAGUUUGGAAAUCGCUGACGAGGAAUUUGUUCAUCGCGAACGCGAGAGGAGGGUCGCGAACGCGAAGAACAAACCCUGGGUAGCAGAAUAAAGUCCAAAUUCGUCCCAUUCUUCCAUUUUUGGACCAAGGAAGCUCGAGUGGGGCAAUUGUUCGAGGGAUUUUCAGAGAAAACAACGGGAUAAGUGUUCUUAACAUAAUUUUUGAUAGAUUACUCGAAUCCAUUGUUGUUUUUAACAUUUAAUUGGUGAUUUUAAGUUGGAAAAGUUUGAAAACUCUCUUGGAUAGAUUUGAGGAUUUGAGGGUCGAAAUGUUAUCGGAAUUUAGUAAUUUUGGUAUGGUUAGACUCGUGGUUGAAUGGGUUGUCGGAUUUUAUGAGUUUCGUCGGAUUUCGAGACGUGGGCCCCACGUGCGAUUUUGAGUUAAAUUUCGGAUUUUGUUGGAAAAUUAGUAUUUUCAUAUGGAAUUAAUUCCUAUAAUUAGUAUUGACUGAAUUGAAUUAAAUGUGGCUAGAUUCGGGUCGAUUGGAGGCCGAUUCAAGGGGCAAAAGCAUUUUGGAGUAGGAUUUUGCUCGGAUUGAGGUAAGUAAUGAUUGUAAAUGUUUGUCCUGAGGGUAUGAAACUCCGAAUUUCACAUCGUUGUGUUAUUUUGAGGUGACGUACACGUUAGAUGACGAGCGUGAGAUCAUGCACCAUUGGGGAUCGUGAUUUAGUCCAUCCAGUAUGACUGUUUAACUGCGUAUUUAAUUGAAAAUUAUUUUCUAUCAUCAUGUUUUGGGAUGAAUGCCAUAUUUGGGCCUCGUGCCAACUAUUUUGGACCCUUAGGGGAUUUUUACUACUAUUCCUCAUUGUUUUGACUUUAUAUUUGUAUUCAGUCAUGCUAUAUUCUACUGUUUUCAUAACUCAACCAUGUUUACUCUAUUUUGACAUCUUAAAUGAUAGUUUGGGUUGAGCAUCAUAUUUUACUGUGUCCGAGUGGCUUUUAGAGAUUUCUGACUAAGUAGGGCUGAGGGCCUGUGUUGUGAGGUUAUUAUGGGAUCGGGUUGCACACUGCAGCAGUGUUAUACUGAUUUAUGAUCUUGAGGUUGAGGGCCUGAGUUGUUAUGCCACGAGGUGGCUUGAUAUUGCACUUGGGCCGUAAAGGGCCCCUCCCGGAGUCUAUACACCCCAAUGAGCGCGGGUACGCUGAGUGAGUGAUAUAUUGAUUUUGCCACGAGAUGGCUUGUUAUUGCGUUUGGCCAUAAGGGGCCCCUCCCGGAGUCUGUACACCCCCAGUGAGCACGGGUACCCAGUGUGAGUAAUAUAAUGUAGCCCGAGAGGCUGUUGUUGUUUCAUAUUGUUGCCCGAAGGGUUGUUCUUGAUCCACGUUUGGCCCGAGGGGCGGUUCUUGAUUCUUGUUAUGCCUGAGGGGUUGAUUACGAGUGAUUGUGAGGUAGCCCGAGGGAUGGUUCUGUUGAUAUUAUGCCCGAGGGGCGGUUUAUGGUACAUGUUUUGCCCGAGGGGCAGUCUACAUUUUAUAUCAUUUUUACUCACUGUUUUAUCACUCGUUUGAAACUAUUGAAAGUUAUUUUCAAAGGCUUUUACUGAACUGAGCUUGAUUUAUGAAGUAAAUAAUUUAUGUACUGUGUUGGAAAUGUCUUGCAUUUGUUAUAGCGUGUUGACGUGGCUUACGUGUUUUCUUACUGCGCAGCUUUCAUUUACUUUUAUUACUUACUGAGUUGGCGUACUCACAUUACUCCCUGCACCUUGUGUGCAGAUUCAGGUAGUUUUGAAUCCCGUAACGGGUGUUGAUUGCUUAGUGGCAGAGUCAUUGGAGUUAGCAAGGUAGUUGCCCGACGUUUGCAGCACUGUUAUUUCUCCCUCUUUUCUUCCUUAGACUGUAUUUAGUACAUUUCUAGACUCUUUGUUGUAUUCAGAUCUUUGUAGAUGCUCGUGACUUGUGAUACCCCGAUGUCGGGCUUGUAUAUUUAUUCUGCACUAGUUGUUUAGACUUAUAUUAUAAGAUUUCUUCUUAAUUAAUGACUUAAAAAUGA
rnacentral:lncRNA from 1 species